CUCACCCCCACAGCAACACACAACUGUCACACACACACUGUACAUAUACACAAGCACACUCCCACAGCAACACACAACUGCCACACACACACACUGUAAUAUACACAUGCACACCCCCAAAGCAACACACAACUGCCACACACACACUGUACAUAUACACAAGCACACUCCCACAGCAACAUGUACUUACAAACACAAAGAAAUGGAGGCUUGGAGGGCCUCGACUGAGGAAAGGAGCGUGAAAGGGAAAUGUAUUGAAGAAGUGGGUGGAGCAGUGGUUCUUACCAUUCAGGGAACCUUGGCAUUAUGGGUAACUCACUAGAACACCCAUACUGUCCCCUGUGUGCUCACCCUCAGGGUGAGGUGCUGGGAUUGCCAUUCUUAACAGUUUCUUUGGGUGGCUGUUGGGAUUGGGGACCUUUGGAGUUUUACUAUUUCUGUUUUGACCCCAUAUCUGUAAUUUGGUAGUCGGGGAUCACAAUUUUACAAAACAUUUGUACUCUAGGCUCAAUCACACACAAAACAGAGAUAAUGGUAAUUUAAUGGGUGUAAGGCUGAGCUGAUGUUCACAAACAUAUCUAGUGUAACAUUAAUUUAUCUAAGCACUCAGUUUCCUUCUUUUUUAUUUUUUCUUGGCAAGAACAAGCAUUCUUU
rnacentral:lncRNA from 1 species